CUGCCCUACACGAAAAUCGAAACAAAGGAAAUCAAAAAGAAAAAAUAUACAAGGAAAAUCAACCAAGAAGAGACACGAGGAAAAUUGGCGGGGCAGGAGUGAAGUUAAAGUGGCCUCCUUGACCAGAUUGCAUGAUGGAUUGCAGUACAAGUCCACCCAGUCCUUAACCCUACUUGAAUAACAUGUGGAAAACAGCAACAAAGCAAAACAAAACCCUAAAUGUACAAGACCGAGACCACUAGAUCCUGGGCAACCUCCUUUAUUAUAUUGCCAGUACUUAGCAGUUUACUCCAGUUGUGAAGCUGAAGGGCUCAUGUCUUAUUAAUUGUCUUACUUCACCAAUUCUUACUGUUUGGACUGUUAGGCUCAAAUGAGUUUUUAUGAGUUAUGUCAUAUUAUUUGUUCCACAAAUGAAUCUUGUUAAUAUGAAGAAAUAAAAUAUGCAUUCUGAGCACUGUA